UACGGAGGAUCCAAGCGUUAUCCGGAUUUAUUGGGUUUAAAGGGUGCGUAGGCGGCAGAUUAAGUUAGAGGUGAAAUUCCGAGGCUCAACCUUGGCACUGCCUCUGAUACUGGUUUGCUAGCGAGUAGAUGCUGUAGGCGGAAUGUGUGGUGUAGCGGUGAAAUGCAUAGAGAUCACACAGAACACCGAUUGCGAAGGCAGCUUACUAAGCCAUAACUGACACUGAAGCACGAAAGCGUGGGGAUCAAACAGG
rnacentral:rRNA from 1 species